rnacentral:lncRNA from 1 species
AGUGAGUUCCAGGACAGCCAGAUCUAUACAGAAAAACCCUGUCUCUAAAAACAAAAAAACAAAAAAAACCAUAAAACCAAAAAAAAAAAAAGAAUUUUCCUUUUCCCUGCCAGUGUAAACAAAUUCAAGACCCAACCCCUUCCCUAUCUACAGGGACUGACUAAAGGUUGAAAGACCCCCAAGCUGGGUGGUCAAUCACUCUGAGGAGACCCUCCCAAGGAUCAGCGAGACCACGAUUCGGAUGCAAACAGCAAAAGGCUUUAUUGGGAACACGGGUACCCGGGCGACUCAGUCUAUCGGAUGACUGGCGCGCCGGGUGUGGAGUUUUUAUCCUUUUUAUAGGGCUAGGGCUGGGGGGCAAAAAGCGCGGGUACAGAAGCGAGAAGCGAGCUGAUUGGUUAGUUUAAAUAAGGCUUGGGGUAUUUCCCGGUCAUUUGGGGAACCUGAAACUGAGGUGGGACUUUCCAGAAACUGUUGCUGGUUUCGCUUUAUCUGAGUACCAUCUGUUCUUGGCCCUGAGCCGGGGCCCAGGUGCUUGACCACAGAUAUCCUGUUUGGCCCCUGUCCCGGUAUUAUUCAGCCUUAUUCUUUAACUAAACUUCCUUGUAACUUUUGAGAACUCAGCUCUGGUACUUUUUCAUGCCUUGCAAAAUGGCGUUACUGCAGCUAGCUUGCUAAGCCUUAUGGUGGGGUCUUUCAAGGUUAUGAUGACUACAGCUGCCAGAAAUAACAGUCCUUGAGAAAACUCCCCUACCCGCCUCAGUCUGAAAACCACAAACUGCUUAGAUCUUGCUGACAGAGUUUUCUGCCAAAUUAAAAAUGUGCCGCUGCUUUGCUAAGCAAUAAUAAAAUAACUGCAUGACCCCCCUUAAAAGAGUAUCAAAGAGGUGUACUUUUUACAAAUCGGGGUUGACUCUCCCUGCGAGGCUGAGCAACCCUACGCGAGUCGUCGUAAUAAAACCUCUUGUCAUUACAGUGACCUGUCAUCAAGCGGAGUUUCUGGGGGUCGAGUUCUCUACACCUGGGCCUCUGGAGAUCCAACACCCUCAGAGAAAGGGGAUAGCAAAAGGGGGUGCUCACCCCCUGUAUAGCCCUGGCUGUCCUGGAACUCACUUUGUAGACCAGGCUGGCCUUGAACUCAGAAAUCCGCCUGCCUCUGCCUCCCGAGGGCUGGGAUUAAAGGCGUGCGCCGCCACACCCGGCUUGUUAUUUUUAUAGAUACCGUUUCAGGAUGGGUAGAAGUCUACCCUACAAAGAAGGAGACUCCCAAUGUCCUGGCAAAGCAGCUUCUGGAGGGCCUCAGACCCAGGUAUGUAUGGCCUGCCUACUCAGCUUGGGUCUGACAAGCUCUAGCACAGGUGCUGGGGACCAGUUGAAAAUUGCAUUGUGCAUCCAGACUCCAGCAUUCGGGGCAAGUAAAGAGGAUGAAUCAGACCCUGAAGGAGACCUUGACCAAAUUAACCCCUGAAACUGGCGCUGACUGAGUGUCUCUCCUUGUCUUAUAUAGAGCUAGGAACAUCCCCUAUAUUUUAGGUCCCCCUCUUUUUUUUUAGAUCCUAUAUGGGAGACCCCUCCCCUGCUGCCUAACCUCCAGUCUGAUAUCUUAGCAGAAUAUGACCAAAAUAAGUUUUUUAAAUCCUUGGAAGCCCUCCAUAGGGUCCAGAAGCAACUCUGGCCUGCCGUGUGCCAGGUUUAUGAGUCAGUUCCUCUCCCUAACCCCCACUGCUUUGAACCAGGUGAAACCAGAAUCUGUCUGGAUUCAGAGACACAACCACAAGACUCUGGAACCUGGCAGGAAAGGGCCUCACACUGCCAUCCUGACCACACCUAUGGCUGUUAAGGUGGACCGGAUCUGGAUACACCCCUCUCACCUUAAGUCUGCCAGCUGAGGUCCCCGCGGAGGAGCCUUCCGGGUGAACUACCACACCCUGUCAAUCCGAUUUGUGAAACUGCGACUCCAACACCCCCGAUCCUGCUUGCUUCGCCUCGCCAGUCAGUAGCCCUCCCCCACUUACUAUUUGGGUAUCCACAGAUAGUGCCAUGCAUUGUAUAAAGAUGGGGCUGGGAUUUGAUCUGACCAUCUCCUUAGAAUAUUUUUCAGUGUCUGAGUGCCCAUGGCUUGGCUUUGGGUUGUCUGUAACAACCUUGUCAUCAAGUGACCAAGCCCUCUCAGUCAGUCAACGGGUUCUCCAGCACAGGAGUGAGGAUUGAAAAGAAAGAGACGAUUGAACAACGCUGCAGCAUGAGCCCUUUUUUUUUUUUUUUUUUGAGACAGGGUUUCUCUGUGUAGCCCUGGCUUUCCUGGAACUCACUUUGUAGACCAGGCUGGCCUUGAACUCAGAAAUCGGCCUGCCUCUGCCUCCCGAGUGCUGGGAUUAAAGGCGUGUGCCACCACGCCUGGCUCUGCAGUUAUUUCUUUGUCAUGCUCCAAUGUCAGAUUCCUACCUGAGCUUACUUCCUUAUCAUGGCCAAUGUCAGAUUCUGGUCUGAAACCCAUUUCCCUGUCCUUGGCCAAUGUCAGAUUCCUGCCAAGAGGCACCCCAGAAGGCUUUCUACAGUCAAGUUCACAAAGUGGCUGGCAGGAAGGCUGACCGUGGUGCCAGUUCUUAACUCCUCUUUCCUUGGACUUAACACAGAACGGUUGGUUACCGGACAGGGACUUGUUUCACAGUGGGUAGAGUGGGCAGGAGUCGGGGAAGCAAGCAAUCACCUGGGAACCCUGAAUCAGUGUGGGGUUGUGACGUCAGCAAUGUUUGUAGUUGACUAAAGUCAUACACGUAAACCAGGCAGAGGGCUUGUCUAACACGCACACAAUCCUGGAUUCAAGGCUCAGUAUUAAAAAAAAAAAAAAAAGAAAAAAAAAAAAGGAUAGAAAUCAUGACUGAGAGAGUGUUUGAACCAAGGCAAUAUUUCAGACAAUUUCUGGAAACUUCUUCAUAAAGGCCUUUAACACUGUAAAGCAAUAUAGCGCAAAUGCCUGUAAUACCAGAAGUUGGGAGGCCCAGGAAAGAGGCUCACCGCAAGCUCACUUUGGACUCCACAGCAAGUCCAUAAUUUUAAAAAACGAAACAAACCAAAAACACCUCUAAGCGAAAUUAAGUCAACUGAGGAGCUCUAGGGGCCUUGGGACUCUGUCAACCGUGGAUGGCUGGGGGCAUCACUUGGGUGUCACGUGUCAUUCCUCAGAGCAGAUGGCCAUCCCUUGGGAAGAGCCCUGGAGUUUGCACAGAUGUGUGGCACAGGGGUUGCUUGGCAGUCCCUGGGGGAGCUUUGAGGCAGGCCUCAUCCCACGGGAGGUCACGCAGUCCUUUGAGGUAGAGGCUACAGGAAGGGAGGCUUUGGUUCUUACCUUCCUGAAGGAACGAAUGAAGUCAAGAGGCAGCAUAGACUGUUUACAUUUAUUUAGCAAAGAAGUGGUUUAUUUCAGAAAGCUAAAGAUAGCAAUGAGAUUGGAGGGGGCUGUUGAAGAUGGGGAGCGAGCCGAGGGGGUCUCUGCUGAGGAUUUUAAAGGAGUUCCAUGAAUAUUUGUGAGGUGAGUUUUAGCACAUCCACGCCCUUAAGCCCUAGCAGUGAAUAUUGUAGGUAAGCACACCUUUUCUGUUACCACCCAUAGGAGCAAGCCCAGAUAGUCAAUAGUUCCAUCCUUUGUCUUAUUUGGCUAUCUCAUACCUGGCUUUAUUUAACUUCCGUGGUGUUUCUUGACUCACUUUUUAACCCUAACGUCUGUUUUGUUUUGUUUUGUUUUUUUUCCAUUUUCCUUUGUUCCCUGGAGCCCCUGUUGUAGGAAUCUACAGAUAAAUAUUAAGUUCUGUUCCAAAAGCUUUACAGACAGACAAACAACUGGCAUUAUAUCAAGGCUCAGGAUCAGUACUCCGGUGUGUGGGAAUACCAAUAAGAGCAAAACACCCCAACCUAAUAGCUUUGAACCAUAAAAUAGAGUUUUUAUAAAGUGAUACUAAUUUUUUUUACCAAACCAUAAAAAUCAGUUUGUAAGUUUCAUUUUACCAGAACUGACUUAAAGGAAAAAGCAAAAC